rnacentral:rRNA from 1 species
GACGAACGCUGGCGGCGUGCCUAACACAUGCAAGUCGAGCGGGGUCCAUCCGGUAGCAAUACCGGGAAGACCUAGCGGCGAACGGUGAGUAACACGUGAGAAACCUGCCCCGAAGUCUGGGAUAACCCGAGGAAACUCGAGCUAAUACCGGAUGUCUUCUUCUGAUCGCAUGGUCGGAUGAAGAAAGAUUUAUCGCUUCGGGAGGGUCUCGCGGCCUAUCAGCUAGUUGGCGGGUAACGGCCCACCAAGGCGUCGACGGGUAGCUGGUCUGAGAGGACGAUCAGCCACACUGGGACUGAGACACGGCCCAGACUCCUACGGGAGGCAGCAGUGGGGAAUAUUGCGCAAUGGCGAAAGCCUGACGCAGCAACGCCGCGUGCGGGAUGAAGGCCUCGGUGUAAACGCUUCAGUGGGACGAAGUUCAGAC